ensembl:snRNA Gm23302 predicted gene, 23302
AGGCUUUGGCAGCCCAUAUGCUAAACUUGGAACGAUACAGAGAUCAGCAUGGUCCCCGUGCAAGGAAGGCAUGCGAAUUCAUGAAGAGGUCCAUAUUCUU